UACGUAGGGUGCGAGCGUUAAUCGGAAUUACUGGGCGUAAAGCGUGCGCAGGCGGUUUUGGAAGCCAGAUGUGAAAUCCCCGGGCUCAACCUGGGAAUGGCAUUUGUGACUGUAGAGCUGGAGUACGGUAGAGGGGGAUGGAAUUCCGCGUGUAGCAGUGAAAUGCGUAGAUAUGCGGAGGGACACCGAUGGCGAAGGCAAUCCCCUGGACCUGUACUGACGCUCAUGCACGAAAGCGUGGGGAGCAAACAGG
rnacentral:rRNA from 1 species